rnacentral:rRNA from 1 species
AACGCUGGCGGCGUGGAUAAGACAUGCAAGUCGAGCGCUAAUUUAAAGGUAGCAAUAUUUUUAAGUUGGAGCGGCGCAAGGGUGCGUAACACGUGGGAAUCUGCCUUAAAGUGUGGGAUAACUUCGAGAAAUCGAAGCUAAUACCGCAUGUGAUCGUGAGACCAAAGUUGGGGAUCGUAAGACCUGACGCUUUAAGAUGAGCCCGCGGCCUAUCAGCUAGUUGGUGAGGUAAAAGCUCACCAAGGCUAAGACGGGUAGCUGGUCUGAGAGGACGACCAGCCACACUGGAACUGAGACACGGUCCAGACACCUACGGGUGGCAGCAGUCGAGAAUUUUUCUCAAUGGGCGAAAGCCUGAAGGAGCGACGCCGCGUGGGGGAUGAAUGGCUUCGGCCCGUAAACCCCUGUCAUUUGCGAACAAAUUGCUUCACUUAACACGUGCAGCAUUGAUUGUAGCGGAAGAGGAAGGGACGGCUAACUCUGUGCCAGCAGCCGCGGUAAUACAGAGGUCCCAAGCGUUGUUCGGAUUCACUGGGCGUAAAGGGUGCGUAGGCGGUUGGGUAAGUUUGACGUGAAAUCUCCGGGCCUAACCCGGAAACUGCGUUGAAUACUAUCCAGCUUGAGGAAUGGAGGGGAGACUGGAAUACUUGGUGUAGCAGUGAAAUGCGUAGAUAUCAAGUGGAACACCAGUGGCGA